GAUAGGACCAGAAAUUCUGCACUUCUAACAAGCUUCCAAGGAUGUGGGUGCCGAUGAUCCACAGACCUUCCUUUGUGCAGCAGGCCAUUAAACAACCAAAGCACCUUGGGCUUCAAAAAAUAAUGGUGUCACUCAAUGCCCUGACUCCUUCUCUACAACAUGGAUGGACCCUGCCCAAAGAGCCUCCUGGGAACAAUCAGAUGGACACCAAUUCACUUAAAAAAUCCUUGGAGAAAUAACCCACUUAUCUGGAAAUCUCCUCACCUUUUAAGACCACACACAAAAGUAACAACAACAAAACCUAUAGAAAGAAGACACAGAAGUUCUCAGGCCAACCAGGAAAGACAUCUCAAAGUGUUUAUAGGGAGGCUCCCAUUCCAUGGAAGUCUCCAAGAACUCAUACUGUACAGGUCAUGCUCAGGGUGACCUGUGGGAAACAGGCAUCAUUUUUCCUGGGGAUACCUUAUUGCAUAAAUGGUCACUAAAUUUGUAAGUGCCCUAAAACCUCCCACACUCUCUUAGCCUCUCUGGCCAUCUGCAAGAAAACAAAAAUGCCAAGACUGCCUUCAUCCCAGCUGGUCCUUGAUGGGUGCUCUGAGCUACCUGGCCUUUAUGAGCUGUUGGGAAAGGACAUGAGUGGAGCCUGGAUCUUGAAGAAAAGUGGGACCAAAUGUCCAAGCCCGUACCCCCUGCCCCCAGCUGUACCCCUACUGACCACGAAACUCUGUGCAAUCAUGGAGGUUCUCUGAGCCUCAGUUUCCCCAUUUGUAAAAUGGGGCAGAGUUUCUCGCCUUGUGAUAUUCUUGCAAAGACUUAGCUGAGAUCACUGUAUGAAGGCAUCUGGGACAGAGCCUAUACAUCACUGGCACUCAGUCAAUGUUAGCCGAGUCUCAGUUCUCCUGUCCUCCACAAAGGGCUCUGCUCCAUCAUGGCUGAUGUCACCUGCCACAGGCUACAUUGGACUUACUCUGACACCCCUACAUUCCUGGGACUCCAGUAAUCCUAAAUACUUUUUUCCUCUAAAGAAACUGUCCUGUUCCCCAUGAGAGGAAACACAACAUCUCUAAAGGGACUUUUUCUUCAGAAUCAGCCAGCCUGAGAGAGCUUGGGGCUAUACCUGAUUUUUCUGGCCCUGGCAUCUGGGACUCUAUACCUGUCUCCUGCAGGGUCUCAGGUACCAAUCAAUGGCAAGAACCCAGCUAACAAAGGGUCAGCCGACAUACCACAACAGGACCCUUCCACUCUGAUGGGGAAGGUUUUAGUCAACAAAGGUUCUGUCUGUGCUGCUGCUGAAUUGUCAGGCUUCAUGAUAGACACAUUCCCUGGGUCUAGAUUUAUGGUUGCAACUCAAUAAUGCCAGCUUUGCAGCUGUGGCCUCAGAGGUGGCCCACCCCUUCCCAGAAAGGCAGGUUGUCAUAACCCCAAAAUAGGUAUUGGACACUCUGCUUCGUCCCUGGUGAAGGAGCAAGGGAUCUAGAACACUUCCACCCUCUAUCCCCUCUUCAUUUUGCCCUGAGCUCUGACCCUAAUGGAAGACCUGCAGCCUCUGGGUCCCUGAAGCCAUGUCAGGGCCUGAGCACCAGUGGGCCGGCCAGAGAAGAGUGGGCUCAUGGGGCCGGACCUUGGCAACCUCUGAGAAGCCCCUACCAGCUCCCCAGCCACUUUUUGGGAAGGGCCAGGAGUUGGAAAAUCAUAUGGUGUUCUGGAAGUGAUUCCCUUGAUAUUUUCUGAGCUGUAAAGACAAGUCGGCUUCUGGGAAAGACUCCUGGGUCUGUAGGCCUAAAGUUCUCCAGAAUGCUACCUUUUCAGGAGCAGAAAGAAUGAGUGAUACAUUCCUGGGAUGGAUCGUAGCAGGUAUGACCUAUGGAACAGGACAAAAGCAAAUGAACAGCACUUCAUUAAGAUCCCCUGAGUAGCUAAGAGUAUGUGUAGGGUGGGGGAGGAGUCGAGGAAUGAGGCCAACAGAGAAAAUGCAUUCGUGUCAAAGGACCGACUUCCUUUUUCAAUCCAAAGGAAUUCCAUCUAAGCUCCCACCAGCCAGAGAACGGAAGCGUGUUGUGCUGGAGCAGUUUAGGCAGUGUCGGAAUUAAUCUUUUAAGAACUGUCUCGGAUGGCUCGGCCACCUUGUGCGAGAUUCGUAAACCGUGUGCAAAACUCAGACUUGUGCAGGCAACCAGAGAAGGUAAGAACCUGUCUUCUGCACGCAGGGCUUCCCCUGCCUGAUUUGUGCUUUGUCUAACCCCAGGAUCUCUCUUCUUCCCAGCGGCUCUUUUGAAAGCCUGGUGAAGGCAGGCGAGGCCAAAUUGGCUACAGGGUAGAACCUGCUAUUCUCCCUCUUGGUGAGCUGCUGAGCAUCUAUUUCAAAUACCUCUAAAGGAUGGACAGCCUGAGGGCUGAGUUCCCGAAUGCUUUUGAUGCUGGGCUCUUGAAGAUUCUCUCUAUGUCUGACUUUCAGAAUGAAAGCAGAUGUAGUAACCCCACCCAGGCACAUUGCAGUCACUGGCUGGCAAGGGAGGAGGGGUAUUAGCAAAAAGUAGUGCAAAGGUAGGGAGGUGGGAUUUGGCACUAGGUAGAGCACGUAGAGUCGGUGGGAAGGAGGCAUUGGCAUAAAGCGAAGGUAGAAAAUAUUCACCCUCUGGGGAUAGGUUACUCCGUAUAGAUGACCACAAAUAAGGAACAGAAACACCUGGGUCAAAUCCUUCCCAGAGUAUGCCAGCUCCCUGCCAGGGUCUGUAUUCAGGACCAAGGUGUAGGUGCUGAUUUAGCUGAAGGUCCCUGUCAUUCCCCCAGCCCCCAAUCCCAGAGGUCACAUGCUCAUUGUCCCACUUAAGCCAAAUUUUUUUCUUGCCUUAAGCCAACACAUCCCCAAAACAUAUCCUAUAAAAGUAGAUUUCAUAAAGAAUAUAAAUAUUUUGAAUCAAGAAGAGGAUGAAAACAAGUUAUAAACAUGUAACUGAAACAUAAAAAUACACAUCAGUUCACUUACAGAACCAAACAGGGUUACAUCGAAUCAUUUAAAAUGAAAGCAAAGGAAAACUCUUCUCGGGAGCUCUUAAAUUUAGGAAAAGAAUCACUGUAGCAUGCUCACCUUGAACCAGGGAUUGGAUAUUGUGGUUCUUGUACAAAGGAAAAUCUGGGAGGGAGAUGGAGGUCCGAGGUGAAGGAGGGAGGAAGAUUGCAUAGUUGUGAAACAGUGGCUUCUCAUCAAGGUGAACAAGUGCGUCCUCUGAUAAAAUAGCAUUUGAUUUUUUUUUCUGUUCAUUUCUGUUCACGGUAUUUUUCUCUGUCCACCAAACAUGUCAUACACUGACACAUAUAUACAGUACACACACACAUGCGAGUGCUAAACACCUGAAUUACACAGCCAUACUUGAAAACGCCCCCUCCCCACUCUUUCUGCGCAAAGUUCCUAUUUGCUUUUGCUACAUCCUGACCCGUUUCUUGUCAAAACUCCUGUUUCGGAUUGUUUCUUUAGCAAAAGGGAUUGGGAGGGGGUGGGGGGGCGGGGAGGGGGGCCUUCCAGGAAAGCACCGGAAAUGGUUCUAUUCUCUCACUGAAUUUCUGUGGCAAUGCCUCGCAUUUUGGUUAGGGGCUCACUAGUUUUUAAGAGAUAGGAAACAACUGCCUCUUUUUUUUUUUUAAGCUUUCUUGAGGUAAACAUUAUUUGCUAACACCUUAGGCAGGAGACACGUUUUAUAGUGCUGUUGAGAAACUUUGCAAAAAGGAGGAAACACCACCAAAGUGUAACAUCGAUGCUUAAGAACAUUUAGAAAGCAAGUCCCCGUUUUAACUCAUUUCCCCUUCCUCUCAUUCGGCCAACUCCUUCUAGUAACAUAUAGAGCAGAACAAAGCUGAUUAAUUGUCUAUAUCAUACUGGGCAUCCCUUAUCCCAACCCACAGUAAACCUCUCUUGCUCACAUACUAAAAAUUGUGAGUCAACUGAAAAAUUAAAAAAGAGAUGA